AUUGAACGCUGGCGGCAUGCCUUACACAUGCAAGUCGAACGGCAGCACGGGUGCUUGCACCUGGUGGCGAGUGGCGAACGGGUGAGUAAUAUAUCGGAACGUACCCUAUUGUGGGGGAUAACGCAGCGAAAGCUGUGCUAAUACCGCAUAAUCCCUAAGGGGGAAAGCGGGGGACCGUAAGGCCUCGCGCAAUUAGAGCGGCCGAUACCUGAUUAGCUAGUUGGUGAGGUAAAGGCUCACCAAGGCAACGAUCAGUAGCUGGUCUGAGAGGACGAUCAGCCACACUGGGACUGAGACACGGCCCAGACUCCUACGGGAGGCAGCAGUGGGGAAUUUUGGACAAUGGGGGCAACCCGGAUCCAGCAAUGCCGCGUGAGUGAAGAAGGCCUUCGGGUUGUAAAGCUCUUUUGUCAGGGAAGAAACAGCAGCUCUAACACAGUUUGCGAAUGACGGUACCUGAAGAAUAAGCACCGGCUAACUACGUGCCAGCCGCCGCGGUAA
rnacentral:rRNA from 1 species